GUAUUUAAAGCAAUUUUUAUUUCUUAUUUUCUGCAGAUACAAAUGAAAUCACAAUGACAUCAAUAAUCCUGAAUUUCUUCUUCACACUCACUCAUGAAAAGUCUCCGAUUUUCCCACCUUGCUCAGCCACCUUAAGUGCCUUCCUUCAAGAUAUUUCCUACUGCUUCUAAAGAGGAUCUCCCAUUGGCUUGGGAGCAGCGUGUCCCUUCUAAGAUAAUCAUGAGCAAUUCUGUUUCCUCUUCAGGUGAGAAAACAGAGGCUGAGAGAAGUUGGAAGAAACACAGGAGCAGGGAUCCCACAUUAGACAAUCUGACUCCAGAGAUCAAGACCUUGGCUGCAACACUAUAUGGG